rnacentral:rRNA from 1 species
UAAGCGGAGGAAAAGAAACUAACAAGGAUUCCCCUAGUAACGGCGAGUGAAGCGGGAAGAGCUCAAAUUUGAAAUCUGGUAGCCUUCGGUUGCCCGAGUUGUAAUCUAGAGAAAUGUUUUCCGUGCCGGCCCAUGUACAAGUCCCUUGGAACAGGGCGUCAUAGAGGGUGAGAAUCCCGUCCUUGACAUGGACCCCCGGUGCUUUGUGAUACAUUUUCAACGAGUCGAGUUGUUUGGGAAUGCAGCUCAAAAUGGGUGGUGAAUUCCAUCUAAAGCUAAAUAUUGGCGAGAGACCGAUAGCGAACAAGUACCGUGAGGGAAAGAUGAAAAGCACUUUGGAAAGAGAGUUAAACAGUACGUGAAAUUGUUGAAAGGGAAACGAUUGAAGUCAGUCAUGCUCUUUGGUAUUUAUAUCAUUGAGUGGGGUCAACAUCAGUUUUGAUCGAUGGAUAAAGGCACUAGGAAGGUAGCACUCUCGGGUGAACUUAUAGCCUAGCGUCAUAUACAUUGAUUGGGACUGAGGAACGCAGCAUGCCUUUAUGGCCGGGAUUCGUCCACGUACAUGCUUAGGAUGUUGACAUAAUGGCUUUAAACGACCGUCUUGAACACG